rnacentral:tRNA from 1 species
GGGCCUGUAGCUCAGUUGGUCAGAGCAUCCGGCUCAUACCCGGACGUGCCCAGGUUCGAGUCCUGGCGGGCCCA